CGGCAACAGCUCAAAUUUGAAAUCUGCCCGCAAGGGCCGAGUUGUAAUUUGUAGAUUGUAUCUUGAGAGCGGAUUAAAGUCUGUUGGAACACAGCGCCUUAGAGGGUGACAGCCCCGUAAAAUCUAUUCUCAUUGUAAGAUACUUUCGAA
rnacentral:rRNA from 1 species